CAUGUGAGCAUUGCAACUCUUGGAUUAGAUAGCCAAACACAAUCUUCUUUUUGGUCUUCUUGGUCUUCUGUCUCCUAUGUUGAAGCUUCCCUAGAUAUCUUCUCGUGUGUUCUCAGGCUUCCCAGGCCCUUUGGACCUUUUAGAACUUAUUGUCACUGCCAGUCCUGGACAUAUCAGCUAUAAGAUGUUCGCUCACAUAAAGCAAAAAAGGAAACAAACAGGAAAAAGGCAGAGGUCUCUAAGUGUUCAUGGUCAGUUGGCCAUAGACAUGGCUCAUGGUUAUUGGACAGUGGCUGGAGAAAAGGCAAUCUUCCCUUUCCCAUCCAAUUCUCAGAAUGAAUAUCGGCCCUCACAAUUAAACCUGGAAAUGAAAAGUUAAGACAGUUAUCCCAUAGCUCCUUAUGAGCACCAUCAUUGAAAGUCCCUCUUGGAUGAAUGAUACAUGAUCAGAAAAAUCUCUAUCACCCCAAGCUACUGCAUGAUCACCUAGAACCACAAAUGGUAACUGAUAGUACUCUAUGGUUAUGAAAAAGAACUUUAUUAUAUGAGUUUUGAAGGAGGCUAUGAGUUCCAUUAGGUCAACAUAAGGAUAGAGUGCAUGCCAAGCAUGAGGGGGAUUACCUAGGAAAAGGCAGAGAGGCUAGAACAACAGCAUCCUUUUCACAUAAAUAUUUGCACCUGCUUUGUGCCCUGACUCCAUGAUGGUAGGUGUCUUGCUAGUUUCAGAAAGAUAAGAUAUUCCCCUUUUGCUCAAGAAGCUUAUAACCUAGAUGAGAGAGAGAUGAAUAUGAAUGAAUACACAAGUAAUAAUAGAGGACAAUGCAAUAAUAUUAGAUAAUUUUGGUGUCAUGUACACUAUCUGAGAUAUAAGUAUAAGGAAAUGUUACAGGAGGUCAAAGCAGAAGAUGAUCCAGGAUGGUGAGAAGAAUUUCUUGGAAGAAUUUGAACUUAGCUCUGAUGGAUAGGCCCAGAGGGAUGAGUCUAUGGAGGAUGCUUGGGUUCCUAUCUGUGGAAAUCCCACUGAGCAUUGUAAUCACCAAAAGCCUAGAAGAAUUCAAAUGGACUCAUCUAAAGUAUUUCAGUAGCUGCCCUUAUCAGCAGCUAAAUUGCUAAUCUUGCUUAAACCAAUGAAUUCUGAGCCAGCUAAUCUUCAGUCUUUUGUGUAGCCAGAUCACAAUUUCUCUUAUUUCUGUCCCAGCAUGUAUCCUAGCAUACAUGUGGAUCAUUCACAAUUUUGCACCUUGAAAAUAUCAUAUUAGGAAGGAACUCUCCACAGAGAGGUAGAUGUCUUUGGACAGUCCUGGAGAGCCAAGACCAUUCCAAACAUUUGGGAAAGAAAUCGGAUCCUACAAUUUCAGUCCUAAUUUAAGUGCUUAAUUUUUUGCCAAAAGUAAAGCUAGUAAUUGUGAUGAGUCAAUGGAUGGUUUCUGUUAAAAAAAAAAUAAACUAAGGUAAUAAAUGCCA
rnacentral:lncRNA from 1 species